rnacentral:rRNA from 1 species
UACGUAGGGCGCGAGCGUUGUCCGGAAUUAUUUGGGCGUAAAGAGCUCGUAGGCGGCCGGUUGCGUCUGCUGUGAAAAUCCCGGGGCUUAACCCCGGGCGUGCAGUGGAUACGGGCCGGCUGGAGGCAGGCAGGGGAGAAUGGAAUUCCCGGUGUAGCGGUGAAAUGCGCAGAUAUCGGGAGGAACACCGGUGGCGAAGGCGGUUCUCUGGGCCUGUACUGACGCUGAGGAGCGAAAGCGUGGGGAGCGAACAGG